rnacentral:rRNA from 1 species
AGCUCCAAUAGCGUAUAUUAAAGUUGUUGCAGUUAAAAAGCUCGUAGUUGGAUGUCUAGCUUCGCGCGGACGGCCCGCCUUCGGGUUGAGUGCUGGAAGCGCUAGCUUAUUUUUCCGUUGGUGUCCUUUCCCUUCGUUGUGGCGAGGUUCACGAUCGGGAUCAGUUACUUUGAAGAAAUUCAGGUGUUCAAAGCAGGCUUAUGCCGUGAAGACUGCAGCAUGGAAUAACAAGAUAGGGCUAUCGCGUCUCAUUUUGUUGGUUCUGGGAUCGUAGCAAUGAUUGAUACGGACGGUUGGGGGUGCUGGUAUUGAACGGCCAGAGGUGAAAUUCUCAGAUUCCUUCAAGACCAACUUAUGCGAAAGCAUUCACCAAGGACGUCCUGUUUAAUCAAGAACGAAA